rnacentral:rRNA from 1 species
AACAAACGCUGGCGGCGUGCCUAACACAUGCAAGUCGUACGAGAAAGUCGGCUUCGGCCGAUGAGUACAGUGGCGCACGGGUGAGUAACGCGUGGGUAAUCUGCCCCCCGGUCAGGAAUAACCCGCCGAAAGGCGGGCUAAUACCCGAUAACACUGACGCUCUGCGGAGUGUCUUUCAAAGAAGGCCUCUGUUUACAAGCUUUCGCCGGAGGAUGAGCCCGCGUACCAUUAGCUAGUUGGCAGGGUAAUGGCCUACCAAGGCAACGAUGGUUAGCUGGUCUGAGAGGAUGGCCAGCCACACUGGAACUGAGACACGGUCCAGACUCCUACGGGAGGCAGCAGUGAGGAAUCUUGCGCAAUGGGGGAAACCCUGACGCAGCAACGCCGCGUGAGUGAGGAAGGUUUUCGGACCGUAAAGCUCUGUCGAGCGGGAAGAAAUGUAUCGUGGCUAAUAUCCAUGAUAUUUGACGGUACCGCUAAAGGAAGCACCGGCUAACUCCGUGCC